CAGUGCCGGAGUGGCCUUGGUGGUUCCGAUAAGGGAGAACUCUGGGCUGAUCAGCUUAGCUACUACCCAGGUCCAGAUCCAGGGCUUGGAGUUGGCUCUCCCCAAAAUCUAUAUCAUCUACAAAUGGUUGGGACUCACAAAAAGACCAGUCCUGUUGUUCCAAAGCUGUAGAAUCUCCAUGACACAGGACAACCACAGGGUAACCAGGAGAAGUCCUCAUGAGGAUCCAGUAUUGGUGGCAUCAAAGAACCCGGAGAUCUCAAACCAGACCAGUGACUCAUGUGAUUCAUUGCAAUGACCAUUUUCAAGUGAAGAUGUAUGGACAGAGGGGUGUUCUGUGGGACACACUGUGACACGCUACAGCUUCCAUGGGGAGAUGUUUUCUAUGCUGUUUUGCUCUUUAUUUGUUUGGGAGGUUUUUUUAUUUGUGGGGGAGGUUGCAAGGGUGAAUAUGAGGGGACUGGGAGAUGAGCAGGACGGGGGUGCAUGAUGUGAAACUCACAGAGAAUCAAGAAAAGUUAGAGUCGCUUUAUUCGACUUCAUGUCUUUCAAAGAAGCUAGGAGACGGGACAGGAACACAGAGGUUUUUAUUUUUUUUUCUGAUUGUCGUUGUCACUUGUGGUUUGUUCCUGACGUAGACCGGAGUCUCCCCCGCUCUCAUUUCCUCAUGCUCCAGUCCCGCCGCCCUGUGUUGUUAUUGUCAGAUACUUUACUACAGUCUUCCUUCAUCAGUUGCGGUGUCAGGUGCGGUGGUCAGCCUCAGCUUCAAAACAGUGCAUGGGAAGUUCCAGGGGAACAAAUCAGAGGUUCCCAAAUGGGCACCGCAUGCUCGGAGCAGUGUGAAGAAGUUCUCUGCUGCCCUGUCAUGUCCUGCCUGGGUAGGAUGUAUACAGAAGAACAUCACACACAUGCUUGGUACUGUCUCCGGUUUCUUGUACCCUCCACAGAUCAGAGGAGGAAGUCAACUGUUCACUCAUUCUCUACAGGGAUAACAAUGUAAUUUCACAGAUACUACUUUUUGCAUUUCUUUCAUUAGCAAAAAGAAGAAAAAUAAGAAGGCACUUAGUUAGACUGUAGUUGAUGUUUCCCA